GUCUUUAGCAGUGCCUCAAAUCGUGUAUUCAUGAGCUAGGGAGCUAGAGAGCCGAUAGAGACGCAGCCUUGUGUAACUUGGGAAGUGUAUGUUUAUGUGACAUCACUCACUCUCGUAAGGCUCCUGUCUGGUCAGAACGACCCACACUACUAUGGCGAAGCUGUAAACGUCGGAUUUUUCAGUGGAGCGAGUGUUGAUGCUUUCCAGGUGCUCGGGAGCCAUGUAGCACAACGUCCCGGCCGCCAUCACACACGACUUCCUGCCUCCCCGACUCUGCCUGCGCGACUCUUCCCUCGUCAGCCGACUCCACGUCUGACACGUAGCCAGACCGAGGUCUGCGAUCUGAUGCCAAACACAUGCCAGCGCUUGUCCCGCACAAUGGCAGGAUCCGCAUGAUUUGGCACAGGUUUUACGCAGGAUGCCCUUCCUGUCACAAACCCUCCCACUUUUAUCCGGGCUUAGGACCGGCACUGAGAGUUAACCCUUCAGCGGCUGGGUUUAGCGCCCUGCCCGGGAAUCGGACCCGGUCCACGCCAAUGACAGCAUGGGAUCCUGCCACUGGGCCACCAUCUCUUUUAUCAACCUAGAUGAUGUGAAUUCAAUA